rnacentral:rRNA from 1 species
UACGGGGGGGGCAAGCGUUGUUCGGAAUUACUGGGCGUAAAGGGCUCGUAGGCGGCCAACUAAGUCAGACGUGAAAUCCCUCGGCUUAACCGGGGAACUGCGUCUGAUACUGGAUGGCUUGAGGUUGGGGGAUGCGGAAUUCCAGGUGUAGCGGUGAAAUGCGUAGAUAUCUGGAGGAACACCGGUGGCGAAGGCGGCAUCCUGGACCAAUUCUGACGCUGAGGAGCGAAAGCCAGGGGAGCAAACGGG